UGAAGCCUGGAGGCAGACACCUGUCACUGCCAUUUAAACCGUUUUACUAAACCUUAUCAGGACAAGUCUGGAGAGAGAUUCCCUACUUCGUCCCUGUCAGACCGCCAUGACCAGGACGCCAUCAAGGCGGCGGCCCGCCAUGAAUAAAACAUCACCGAUGCCGCUGCUGAAAAAUGUAGGAGCUCAGUGACUCAGUGGAAAUGUUUCAGAUGUUGUUGCUCAUUGCGCCUCUAUUGUACCUCCUAAGUUGCCGUAGCUUCCGUCUUCUCCUCACAAUACCGUCCUGUAUUGCCGAGGAGCAGAGGUGCAGAUAGAAGGAAGACAGUAGACCAGAAGCCAAUUAAUAUUCUAUUGUCUUCUGCAGGU